GGUACUUGUAAGGUUGCUAGUAGUGUUAAUUACUCUUUGUAGUUGAUGCUAGUUGGAUUACUUGGUGGAAGAGUUUAUGUUCAGAUCCUUGAUGCUACUCAUUACACCUCUGAUCAUGAUUAUGAUUAUGCUUUGUGAGUAGUUACUUUUAUUCCUGAGGACAUGGGAUAAGUCAUGCUGAUAAUAGUCAUGUGAAUUUGGUAUUCGUUCGGUAUUUUGAUAUGUUGUAUGUUGUCUUUUCCUCUAGUGGUGNGAUG
rnacentral:lncRNA from 1 species